GUGAGGAAUAUUGCGCAAUGGAGGCAACUCUGACGCAGCCAUGCCGCGUGCAGGAAGAAGGCGCUACGCGUUGUAAACUGCUUUUAACCGGGAAGAAACCCCAGGACGUGUCCUGGGUUGACGGUACCGGAGGAAUAAGCACCGGCUAACUUCGUGCCAGCAGCCGCGGUAAUACGAAGGGUGCAAGCGUUAUCCGGAUUCAUUGGUUUUAAAGGGUGCGUAGGCGGAGCGUUAAGUCAGUGGUGAAAUCCUGCAGCUUAACUGUAGACUUGCCAUUGAUACUGGCGCUCUUGAGUGCGCUUGAAGUGGGCGGAAUGUGCCGUGUAGCGGUGAAAUGCUUAGAUAUGGCACAGAACACCAAUUGCGAAGGCAGCUCACUAAGGCGAUACUGACGCUGAGGCACGAAAGCGUGGGGAUCGAACAGGAUUAGAUACCCCGGUAGUCC
rnacentral:rRNA from 1 species